GCCAAGGGGCGCAGCUACACAUGCAAGUCGAGCGAACCUUCGGGUUAGCGGCGGACGGGUGAGUAACGCGUGGGAACGUACCCUCUUCUGCGGGAUAGCCACUGGAAACGGUGAGUAAUACCGCAUACGCCCUUCGGGGGAAAGAUUUAUCGGAGGAGGAUCGGCCCGCGUUGGAUUAGGUAGUUGGUGGGGUAAUGGCCUACCAAGCCUACGAUCCAUAGCUGGUUUUAGAGGAUGAUCAGCCACACUGGGACUGAGACACGGCCCAGACUCCUACGGGAGGCAGCAGUGGGGAAUCUUAGACAAUGGGCGCAAGCCUGAUCUAGCCAUGCCGCGUGAGUGACGAAGGCCUUAGGGUCGUAAAGCUCUUUCGCCAGAGAUGAUAAUGACAGUAUCUGGUAAAGAAACCCCGGCUAACUCCGUGCCAGCAGCCGCGGUAAUACGGAGGGGGUUAGCGUUGUUCGGAAUUACUGGGCGUAAAGCGCACGUAGGCGGAUUGGAAAGUUGGGGGUGAAAUCCCAGGGCUCAACCCUGGAACUGCCUCCAAAACUCCCAGUCUGGAGUUCGAGAGAGGUGAGUGGAAUUCCGAGUGUAGAGGUGAAAUUCGUAGAUAUUCGGAGGAACACCAGUGGCGAAGGCGGCUCACUGGCUCGAUACUGA
rnacentral:rRNA from 1 species